AUGGUUUGGUUCCGAGAGGAGUAUUGCAAAACAUCCAUCCCAUUGAAAGUCUCAAACAGUGACACGACCAUAUGGAGAUGUCUAAAGGCCGUCAUUCCGCUCGUACUACAGAGCACGAAGUGCAAAGUGGGUGCAGGUUUCAAAGUUUCUUUUUGGCACGACAACUGGACUGGUCAUGGGCAACUUCUCCACUCCUACCCCAUGCUGUUCUCCUUUGCAAAACAUAAAUUCUGCACUGUUGCUACUCAGCACACCUCCGGGGGUUGGCGGGUAGAGUUACUUCCAAACCUUUCUGUCACGGCAAACAAGGAACUACAGAGACUGCUAGCGCGGCAACGGGAUUUUCAGUUGUGCCAUAAUGGCCAGGACCCAAGGGCAAGUUCUAUCUCUGGAAAGGAAGCAAGUACAUCAUAUUUCUAUCUCUGGAAAGGAAGCAAGGACCGAGGAAGUAGUGCAGGGCUCCAAGGUCUUUGA
rnacentral:rRNA from 1 species